rnacentral:rRNA from 1 species
UACGGGGGGUGCGAGCGUUGUCCGGAAUCACUGGGCGUAAGGGCGCGUAGGUGGUCUGAUAAGGGUGUGGUGAAAGCCCGGGGCUCAACCCCGGGUCGGCCGUGCCGACUGUUAGACUAGAGUGCUGUAGGGGCAGGCGGAAUUCCGGGUGUAGCGGUGGAAUGCGUAGAGAUCCGGAGGAAGACCGGUGGCGAAGGCGGCCUGCUGGGCAGUUACUGACACUGAGGCGCGACAGCGUGGGGAGCAAACAGGG